AUUGAACGCUGGCGGCAGGCCUAACACAUGCAAGUCGAACGGAAACAGGAAGACGCUUGCUUCUUUGCUGACGAGUGGCGGACGGGUGAGAAAUGUCUGGGAAACUGCCUGAUGGAGGGGGAUAACUACUGGAAACGGUAGCUAAUACCGCAUAACGUCGCAAGACCAAAGAGGGGGCCAUUCGGGCCUCUUGCCAUCGGGUGUGCGCAGAUGGGAUUAGCUAGUAGGUGGGGUAACGGCUCACCUAGGCGACGAUCCCUAGCUGGUCUGAGAGGAUGACCAGCCACACUGGAACUGAGACACGGUCCAGGCUCCUGCGGGAGGCAGCAGUGGGGAAUAUUGCACAAUGGGCGCAAGCCUGAUGCAGUCAUGCCGCGUGUAUGAAGAAGGCCUUCGGGUUGUAAAGUACUUUCAGCGGGGAGGAAGGGAGUAAAGUUAAUACCUUUGCUCAUUGACGGUACCCGCAGAAGAAGCACCGGCUAACUCCGUG
rnacentral:rRNA from 1 species